UACAGGCUUAACACAUGCAAGUCGAGGGGCAGCAUGGUCUUAGCUUGCUAAGGCCGAUGGCGACCGGCGCACGGGUGAGUAACACGUAUCCAACCUGCCGUCUACUCUUGGACAGCCUUCUGAAAGGAAGAUUAAUACAAGAUGGCAUCAUGAGUCCGCAUGUUCACAUGAUUAAAGGUAUUCCGGUAGACGAUGGGGAUGCGUUCCAUUAGAUAGUAGGCGGGGUAACGGCCCACCUAGUCUUCGAUGGAUAGGGGUUCUGAGAGGAAGGUCCCCCACAUUGGAACUGAGACACGGUCCAAACUCCUACGGGAGGCAGCAGUGAGGAAUAUUGGUCAAUGGGCGAGAGCCUGAACCAGCCAAGUAGCGUGAAGGAUGACUGCCCUAUGGGUUGUAAACUUCUUUUAUAAAGGAAUAAAGUCGGGUAUGGAUACCCGUUUGCAUGUACUUUAUGAAUAAGGAUCGGCUAACUCCGUGCCAGCAGCCGCGGUAAUACGGAGGAUCCGAGCGUUAUCCGGAUUUAUUGGGUUUAAAGGGAGCGUAGAUGGAUGUUUAAGUCAGUUGUGAAAGUUUGCGGCUCAACCGUAAAAUUGCAGUUGAUACUGGAUAUCUUGAGUGCAGUUGAGGCAGGCGGAAUUCGUGGUGUAGCGGUGAAAUGCUUAGAUAUCACGAAGAACUCCGAUUGCGAAGGCAGCCUGCUAAGCUGCAACUGACAUUGAGGCUCGAAAGUGUAGGUAUCAAACAGGAUUAGAUACCCUGGUAGUCCACACGGUAAACGAUGAAUACUCGCUGUUUGCGAUAUACAGCAAGCGGCCAAGCGAAAGCGUUAAGUAUUCCACCUGGGGAGUACGCCGGCAACGGUGAAACUCAAAGGAAUUGACGGGGGCCCGCACAAGCGGAGGAACAUGUGGUUUAAUUCGAUGAUACGCGAGGAACCUUACCCGGGCUUAAAUUGCAGAUGAAUUACGGUGAAAGCCGUAAGCCGCAAGGCAUCUGUGAAGGUGCUGCAUGGUUGUCGUCAGCUCGUGCCGUGAGGUGUCGGCUUAAGUGCCAUAACGAGCGCAACCCUUGUUGUCAGUUACUAACAGGUUCCGCUGAGGACUCUGACAAGACUGCCAUCGUAAGAUGUGAGGAAGGUGGGGAUGACGUCAAAUCAGCACGGCCCUUACGUCCGGGGCUACACACGUGUUACAAUGGGGGGUACAGAGGGCCGCUACCACGCGAGUGGAUGCCAAUCCCCAAAACCUCUCUCAGUUCGGACUGGAGUCUGCAACCCGACUCCACGAAGCUGGAUUCGCUAGUAAUCGCGCAUCAGCCACGGCGCGGUGAAUACGUUCCCGGGCCUUGUACACACCGCCCGUCAAGCCAUGGGAGCCGGGGGUACCUGAAGUGCGUAACCGCGAGGAGCGCCCUAGGGUAAAACUGGUGACUGGGGCUAAGAC
rnacentral:rRNA from 1 species